rnacentral:rRNA from 1 species
UACGGGGGGGGCAAGCGUUGUUCGGAAUUACUGGGCGUAAAGGGCUCGUAGGCGGCCAACUAAGUCAGACGUGAAAUCCCUCGGCUUAACCGGGGAACUGCGUCUGAUACUGGAUGGCUUGAGAUUGGGAGAGGGAUGCGGAAUUCCAGGUGUAGCGGUGAAAUGCGUAGAUAUCUGGAGGAACACCGGUGGCGAAGGCGGCAUCCUGGACCAACACUGACGCUGAGGAGCGAAAGCCAGGGGAGCAACGGG